CAGAGACCCAGUGUUGACUUAUGCCCUAAGCAUAGUGAAAACCAAGAGCCAUAGUCCACCUGUAAAGUCCUGUCCUGCUUUAUCAGAAACAAAUAUGGACAUUUAACCUGCUGCAUGUGAAGGCAAAUGUAAAAUUAUGGAUACAAAUAAAUCAACUGCAAGCCGUGAACUAUUGGUGAAGCAACUCCAGUAGUUAAUCUGUACCAAAGGAUCGGAAAAUAGCCAAUGUGACACCCCUGUUCAAAAUGAGCAGCAAAAAGCAGUUGCUGCUUGACAUUUGCCGGACUCUCCAAAACAGGCUCUGGGGUCUCAGUUACAGGCUUCCAUCACUGCCACUCCCAUGACCGCCACUUCAGAACCAUGGACCUGGGGGUGCACGGGUUCUGUACCUCCUAUUCCUCAUCCGACACUGGUCCAGACCCUGCCACUAGUCAUCAGUCGUCAGGGUCCUCUGCCAUCACUUUUCCGAUGUUUCCCCUCCUUCAGACACCUGGGCCUAGCUGCAGGUGUGGAACCUUGGUCCUUGCUCACUGCGAGACUCCAAGCUGGGUAGAGCCGAGUCCGGCUCAUCCUGGAGUUGCUGCCACCAGAGAAGUCAUCCUUCAUCCGGCCUCGGCCGCACCCACUCUCCAGACUAUAAAGAAAAGAAAAUGAAGAAGAAAGGAAAAAGAAAAGGAGAAAAAGGAAAAAGAAGAAAAGAGAAAGAAAAACCAAAGAAAGCAGACGAGUCCUAUCUCAGCCCUGCUACUCCACCAUCUUGAGGUAUCUGAAAUAUCUCCACUGUUUCUUUAAUGGGCC